CAUGAGAGGGAGAGAGAGCUGCAGCUAAAUAAGUAUUAUUUUUGGUGGGUGGGUGAGAUUGCCAACUGAUAGAUCCCGGCGGGAGGGAGCAGAGAUCCACCAAACCUGACGUCGACGUUUAUUCGGAUCAAGUGGAUGAAUUGUUGACCUUGAGAAGUGCAUGCAUGGCUGUAACGAAGUUGGGAAGCGUCCACCGACCAUGGAAUAAAAAUGGAGCUUCUUGAAAGCUGCAUCACUUCCAGCACUAGAAGUGGAAGCAGAGGUGUUUGCUUGGAAGAUGGACUCUCCAUGAACAGGGGAUGCUCUGCUCUGCUCUAUCCUAAAUGAAAUGAAACUACUUGUUUGGAUUUCAGAAAAAAUUGCAUCUUGAAGUUUUCCAAGUAAAAAAUAAAACAUAAAUACAUUUUUGCAAUGAAAUAUAGAAGCAAACAAAAAGGGAACCGUAAGAAGGGACCGGAGGCGAUGGACGACGACGGCUGAAGGCGAGGGCCAUCGUGGAGGAUUUCGCCGUCGGAUCUGUAGAUCAGCGGGAGAUGGGGGCGGCGGCUCUUCGUAGCUGGAAGCGCUCCUUGUACCUCGGCUCAACUGGGAAUGAUAGAACCCCAUGGUGGGCUUGUGCAUUACUUUUCCUGAUCGCUUGAAAUCGAAGGUAUUUCCUUGCUCUUUAUUAUCUCUUCGUUGAAUGCUAAUCAUCAUUCUUGCUCGUUGCUGUUCUUGGAACCCUAAUUCAUCAGAUGCUAUCCUUGAAGUUAGAAAUAAGUCAUCGACAGCAUCAACUUCUAGAGUUUCUUGGUUGAUCUCCGUGCUAGGGCUACGACUAUGAAAUGCUAUGGCACCAAUGAUCAAAAUUGACCUUUCCAAUAAAGUUUUUGGAUUGCUGAAUCGUGACAUCAAAGCGUUUAUAUGAUUGAAUCAUUCAAGAUGGAUUGUGUAUCCACCCUGAUAUUUAACUGCAUUUCACAUAUGUGCUAUACAAGUGAGUUGGCUACAUGUACUGCUUCCAAUCUUUUGAGCCUUUCCUCUCUAGAAAUUUGCAAACAAUAUCAAAUUUAAAAAGCUUUUCUCUAUUCAAGAA